GGGCGGCGCGAAGGAAUGAGGGGCCAGCUUGGGCACCGGCGAGCGGGUGCGUAACACGUCUGCUACUUGCCGAUCUGUGUGGAAUAGCCGGCCCAACGGCCGGGUAAUACCGCAUACGCUCAGUCUGUAGCAUUACGGAUCGAGGAAACCUUUUUGGGCGGAUCGAGGGGCUCGCGGCCUAUCAGCUAGUUGGCGAGGUAAUGGCUCACCAAGGCGAUGACGGGUAGCUGGUCUGAGAGGAUGGCCAGCCACAUUGGGACUGAGAUACAGCCCAGACUCCUACGGGAGGCAGCAGUGGGGAAUAUUGCGCAAUGGCCUAACGGCUGACGCAGCGACGCCGCGUGUGGGAUGAAGCCCUUCGGGGUGUAAACCACUGUUGCCCGGGACGAACAGCGAGCUUCAGCUUGCCUGACGGUACCGGGUGAGGAAGCACCGGCUAACUCCGUGCCAGCAGCCGCGGUAAUACGGAGGGUGCGAGCGUUGUCCGGAAUCACUGGGCGUAAAGGGCGCGUAUGUGGUGCGAUAAGUGUGUGGUGAAAGCCCGGGGCUCAACCCCGGGUCUGCCGUGCAAACUGUCGGACUGGAGGACUGCAUAGGCAGGUGGAAUUCCGGGUGUAGCGGUGGAAUGCCUAGAGAUCCGGAAGAAGACCGGUGGCGAAGGCGACCUGCUGGGCAGUUACUGACACUGAGGCGCGACAACGUGGGGAGCAAACAGGAUUAUAUACCCUGGUAGUCCACGCCGUAAACGAUGGGCACUAGGUCUCUGGGGGAGCGACCCCCUGGGGGCCGACGCAAACGCAUGAAGUGCCCCGCCUGGGGAGUGCGGCCGCAAGGCUGAGACUCACAUGAAUUGACGGGG
rnacentral:rRNA from 1 species